AGGAGCCACGGGAGACUUGGAAAGUUCACGGUUCGACGCCAUGGAUCUCCAGGUGGGUCAAGGUUAGAGACGCACCAACCUGGAGGACUCCAUGCUGUCGAGCUGAUCACGAGCAACAGACGCAAGAG
rnacentral:pre_miRNA from 13 species